rnacentral:rRNA from 1 species
GACGAACCGUGCGAACGUUGUUCGGAAUCACUGGGCUUAAAGGGCGCGUAGGCGGGCCCGCAAGUCAGGGGUGAAAUCCCACGGCUCAACCGUGGAAGUGCCUUUGAUACUGCGGGUCUCGAGGGAGGUAGGGGCGUGCGGAACUUCCGGUGGAGCGGUGAAAUGCGUAGAUAUCGGAAGGAACACCGGUGGCGAAAGCGGCGCGCUGGACCUCUUCUGACGCUGAGGCGCGAAAGCCAGGGGAGCGAACGGG